rnacentral:rRNA from 1 species
AAGGAUCAUUAUCGAUUCGAUUCCUUGCGAAAUCACUGUGCACCCGGUGCGCUUUGCGCGCUAUCCUUUCGGGGUUGGACCGUUUGCGCGGACCAUUAAAUCGGACUCUAGGCGGCUGCACGGCGCCUGUCUCUCUCUCUCGCGGGGGGUUGACGGGUUGGAGUCGAGCGCUGUCCCGGGCCCCGAUUGGAGUUGCGGCGCGCGAGCUGUUUUCACCGCGCGGUUUCUGCUGCGCAUUGUGUUUUAACCAAGCAAAUUUGCAGACUGAACUGUGGGCUUUUUCGAAAGCUUGUCUCUGAAUGCAAUCAAGGACAACUUUCAACGGUGGAUCUCUUGGCUCGUGGAUCGAUGAAGAACGCAGCAAAACGCGAUAUGUAGUGUGAAUUGCAGAAUUCAGUGAAUCAUCGAAUCUUUGAACGCAAAUGGCGCCCCUGGGUAUUCCCAGGAGCAUGUCUGUCUCAGUGUCGUUUUCACCUCGAGCGCGCUACGGCGCGGUGGUCAUGAGGCGUCUGGGCUCUCUCUCUCUCGCGGGAGCUCAGUCCCUUGAAAUGCAGUGGCCGGACACCUGUUUUGCGCAGCACCGGGUCGGUUCGCCCCGGACUUGCUCGCACGGCUGAUGACGGCUUUUAGCCCCGUUUUGUCGUGUCGCAGCAGCCGGGAUACGAGCCCGCCGAACGCAGCGUGGGCGUCCGAAACAAGCCAGNUNUGGAAGCGACUCGUUCGAAGUUCGCUUUGAACACCUUUGACCUGAGAUCAGGC